rnacentral:tRNA from 1 species
GGUAGAGCGACGGACUGUUAAUCCGCAGGUCCCUGGUUCGAGCCCAGGUUGGAGAGCCA